CCGUAGGUACGGGCGAGUGAAGCGGGAAGAGCUCAAAUUUGAAAUCUGGUAGCCUUCGGUUGCCCGAGUUGUAAUCUAGAGAAGUGUUUUCCGUGCCGGCCCAUGUACAAGUCCCUUGGAACAGGGCGUCAUAGAGGGUGAGAAUCCCGUCCUUGACAUGGACCCCCGGUGCUUUGUGAUACACUUUCAACGAGUCGAGUUGUUUGGGAAUGCAGCUCAAAAUGGGUGGUGAAUUCCAUCUAAAGCUAAAUAUUGGCGAGAGACCGAUAGCGAACAAGUACCGUGAGGGAAAGAUGAAAAGCACUUUGGAAAGAGAGUUAAACAGUACGUGAAAUUGUUGAAAGGGAAACGAUUGAAGUCAGUCAUGCUCUUGGGACUUACCUCCCUUGAGUGGGGUCAACAUCAGUUUUGAUCGAUGGAUAAAGGCACGGGGAAGGUAGCACUCUCGGGUGAACUUAUAGCCUCGCGUCAUAUACAUUGAUUGGGACUGAGGAACGCAGCAUGCCUUAUGGCCGGGAUUCGUCCACGUACAUGCUUAGGAUGUUGACAUAAUGGCUUUAAACGACCCGUCUUGAACCACGGACCA
rnacentral:rRNA from 1 species